UAGGGAAUCUUCCGCAAUGGGCGAAAGCCUGACGGAGCAAUGCCGCGUGAGGGAUGAAGGCCUUCGGGUCGUAAACCUCUGUUGUUGGGGAAGAAGGUCGCUGUGAAAGCAGUUGGCUUGACGGUACCCGACGAGGAAGCCCCGGCUAAUUACGUGCCAGCAGCCGCGGUAAUACGUAAGGGGCAAGCGUUGUCCGGAAUCACUGGGCGUAGAGGGCGCGUAGGCGGUUUGAUAAGUAGAGGGUGAAAGAUUCGGGCUCAACCCGAAAAUUGCCUUCUAAACUGUCUUACUUGAGGGUCUGAGGGGAAACUGGAAUUCACGGUGUAGCGGUGAAAUGCGUAGAUAUCGUGGAGAACACCCGUGGCGAAAGCGGGUUUCUGGCAGACUCCUGACGCUGAGGCGCGAAGGCUAGGGGAGCAAACGG
rnacentral:rRNA from 1 species